GUACGGCCGCAAGGUUAAAACUCAAAUGAAUUGACGGGGGCCCGCACAAGCGGUGGAGCAUGUGGUUUAAUUCGAUGCAACGCGAAGAACCUUACCUGGUCUUGACAUCCACAGAACUUUCCAGAGAUGGAUUGGUGCCUUCGGGAACUGUGAGACAGGUGCUGCAUGGCUGUCGUCAGCUCGUGUUGUGAAAUGUUGGGUUAAGUCCCGCAACGAGCGCAACCCUUAUCCUUUGUUGCCAGCGGUCCGGCCGGGAACUCAAAGGAGACUGCCAGUGAUAAACUGGAGGAAGGUGGGGAUGACGUCAAGUCAUCAUGGCCCUUACGACCAGGGCUACACACGUGCUACAAUGGCGCAUACAAAGAGAAGCGACCUCGCGAGAGCAAGCGGACCUCAUAAAGUGCGUCGUAGUCCGGAUUGGAGUCUGCAACUCGACUCCAUGAAGUCGGAAUCGCUAGUAAUCGUGGAUCAGAAUGCCACGGUGAAUACGUUCCCGGGCCUUGUACACACCGCCCGUCACACCAUGGGAGUGGGUUGCAAAAGAAGUAGGUAGCUUAACCUUCGGGAGGGCGCUUACCACUUUGUGAUUCAUGACUGGGGUGAAGUCGUAACAAGGUAACCGUAGGGGAACCUGCGGUUGGAUCACCUCCUU
rnacentral:rRNA from 1 species